CCUACGGGCGGCAGCAGUAGGGAAUUUUGCGCAAUGGGCGAAAGCCUGACGCAGCAACGCCGCGUGAUUGAUUAAGCCCUUCGGGGUGUAAAGAUCUGUCAGUGGGGACGAAACUUGACGGUACCCACAGAGGAAGCACCGGCUAACUCCGGGCCAGCAGCCGCGGGAAGACGGAGGGGGCAAGCGUUGUCCGGAAUCAUUGGGCGUAAAGGGUGCGGAGGUGGCAUAGAAAGUAUGGUGUUAAAUGGAGGAGCUCAACUUCUGUUAGGCACUGGAUACUGGUCAGCUUGAAUGCGGUAGAGGUAAAGGGAAUUCCUGGUGUAGCGGUGAAAUGCGUAGAUAUCAGGAGGAACAUCGGGGGCGUAAGCGCUUUAAUGGGCUGUAAUUGACACUGAGGAACGAAAGCCGGGGUAGCAAAUGGGAUUAGAUACCCUUGUAGUC
rnacentral:rRNA from 1 species